AUAGCCAUCUCUUUCCCACAUUUGCUUUCACUUAACCCUAACUUAGCACACAUCUCUUUCUCCCUUUUCUUCACAACGAUUGUGUAGCUGCAUAAUUACAUAUCGAUUGAGCCUCCAGCAACUGAUCACUCAGUCUUUGAAGCCCUAGUUACUGCCGUGAUCGAUUUGAGGAGACUCUAACAGAUGGAUCGUAGUUGGAUGUAUUAUAUGACUAAUUUUGAUCGAAUGUGGUUGAGGCCUGAAUUUGUGGAAGGUGUCGCUGGUUUUGUGGAGUAUGCAAAGACACUAGAACCUUUUCAACGUAAUGGCUUGGUUAAGUGUCCUUGUAACAAAUGUCAAUAUAUGAAUUAUGAAAAACCAGAUAUUGUUGAGCUUCAUCUUAUCGAAAUGAAUUUAAAAAAGAAUAUACAGUAUGGACUAGUCAUGGAGAAAUUUAUAAUAGUUUUGAUGUAUUUCAAAACUAUGUUGUUGGUGAAACUAGUACUAAGUUGAAAUCUAAUACACAAAAUUAUAGAAUGAAUGAAAUGGUUCAGGAUGCGUAUGGGGUGCAUUCUAAUUUUGAAUUUGGUAAUAAUAAUGUUGAAGAAACUCCCAACGAUAAAAGUAGAAUUUUCUUUGAACAAUUGGAAGCUGCUAGCCGGCCUUUAUGUGAGGGGAGUCCUUACUCCCAGUUGUCUAUUGAUCUUAGGUUAUUAAAUAUCAAAUCAGAUUGGAAUGUUUCUCAAGGGGCAAUGGAUUCUGUGAUUGACCUUAUGCAUGAUUUAGUUGAUCCAAAACCAGAGAUACCUGAUAAUUUCUAUAAGGCAAAGAGGUUGGUGUCAAAAUUAGGACUGUCAUCGAUGAGAAUCCAUUGUUGUGAGAAUGGUUGCAUGUUAUACUAUAAGGAUGAUAUUGAUUUUGAAUCCUGUAAGUUUUGUGGUAUAUCUAGGUAUAAGCUUGCUCCUAGUGUAAAAAAAGUUGCUGUUAAGAUGAUGUGUUACUUACCUCUUAUACCAAGGUUAAAAAGGUUAUAUGCAUCAAAUAGCUCUGCCCCUCAUAUGAGAUGGCACCAUGAAAACAGAAGACCACCCGGUGUUAUGUGUCAUCAUCUGAUGGAGAUGCUUGGAAGCAUUUUGAUAGAACUUAUCCCGAUUUUGCAGUAGAACCAGGGAACAUUAGAUUAGGUUUAUGUUCAGAUGGAUUCACUCGACAUUCUGUUUCUGCUGCACCUUACUCUUGUUGGCCUGUAUUUUAGCACCAUGUAAUCUUCCACUUGGGAUGUGUAAUACAAGUUCAUAUAUAUUUAUGAAUUGUGUCAUAUCUGGCCCCUGCAAUCCAAAGGUCUUGGUUGAUGUGUACUUGCAGCCUUUGAUAUAUGAAUUGAAACAACCGUGGGUACAAGGGGUUGAAAUAUUUGAUGUGUCUCUUAAGCAUUAAUUUGCGGGCUGCGUUAAUGUUGAUGAUUAAUGAUUUUCCUGCGUAUGGUAUGUUGUUAGGGUGGAUGACAACUGGAAAGUUAGCUUGUCCUUACUGUAUGGAAAAUACUAAAUCAUUCACUUUAAAACAUGGUAAAAAAAAAUCUUGGUUUGACUGUCAUCGUUAAUACUUGCCAAUGGACCAUGAGUUUAAGAGUAUGAAAAAUGCAUUCAAAAAGAAAACUGUUGAAUGAGGAUGUCCACCUCCAAUAUUGACUGGAGAACAAGUUUGGGAGAGGGUUCAACACCUUCCAAGUUUACAGAACAACAACCUUACAAAUUUGAUAGAUAUGGUGUUACUCAUAAUUGGACAAAACAGAGUAUAUUUUGGCAGUUAUCAUAUUUCAAGGAUAAUUUUCUUCAACAUAAUAUUGAUCUCAUGCAUAUCGAAAAAAAAUUACUUUGAUAAUCUAUUUAACACAGUAAUGGAUAUCAUUGACAAGACAAAAAAUAAUGUUAAAGUUAUAAUGGACUUACCAGAAUACUGUAGGCGAAGAGACUUAUGGUUGUAGGAGUAACAGAACAAGUUGUUCUUCAAGCCUAAGACUAAUUAUUCAUUUACAAUGGAUCAAAAGCAUAAACUAUGUGAAUAGGUCGAGCAACUUAAGAUGCCUGAUGGACAUGCUUCAAAUUUGGGAAGCGUGUUGAUAUGGAGCAUGGAAAGUUAUAUGGUUUGAAAAGUCAUGGUUGUCACAUCUUCAUGGAAACAUUACUCCCCAUCGCAUUUAGUGGAUUUCCUGAUAGAAUUUGGAAACCUAUGACUGAAAUUAGUUUGUUCUUCAAAGACUUGUGUUCUAAUACUAUGAAAGAAGACAACCUAGUCCAGAUGGAACAAAAUUCCUAUAAUUACAAAUAAGGUCUAAAAGAUUCUUCCACCUGGAUUUUGAGAUGUUAUGGAGCAUCUUCCUGUGCAUCUAGUGCAUGAAACCCGUCUCGGAGGCCCGGUUGAAUAUAGAUGGAUGUAUCAAUAUGAGAGAACUAUUGGCAAGUCUAAACGGGGUAUGAAGCAAAAACAUAGACUUGAAGGAACAAUGGUUGAAGCCUAUCUUGCUAGGUAAAUAACUAAUUUUGGUUCUUAUUACUUUGAUAUUAAUGUGCCAUGCUUGCGAAAUAGACCCAAUCGUCAUGACGAUAGUGGUGAGUCUAAUCCUCUUGCAAAGCCACUAUCAAUCUUCAAUCAACCAGACAAAGCUUCAAAAAAACGUACAAGGAAGGAUCUUAAGGCAAUGGAGUUUAAGCCUGCAUCGAUACAUAUCUUGUUGAAUUGUCCACAAGUUAAACAAUUUCUUUAGUAAGUUGAUAUUAGUUUGCACUUAAUAUGUAAUUACCAUGUAAAUGAACUAACUCAAUAUUCAUCCUCUUUGACAGCUACUUCCUGCAUUUAUAUGGCAAUGAUAAAGUAUUUGAGUAUUAUUAAACAUGAUUUGAAAAUUAUAUGGCAGGUGGCUGGAAGAAUAAAGCUAUUGAUAAUGCCCCCCAAAAGAAGAAGAAAAAAGAUAGCAUGAUUACUAGGCGAUCGACUGCCAUACACAUCAGAUCAGACUCCACACCAUCUCUCCCAACACGAGACACUCCGGUACAUUGAAGUUCUAGGCAGACUGCGUCUUAUAUGCAGUUGACUCCAUAGAUUCAUCUCCAUCGACCUAUAUGCAUCAGGUGCCUAUGAUUAUGCCCACAUCCGGAUAUGCUACCCCAAAUGGAUACACUCAUUUGCCUCCCGAGUCUCAGCGACCGACAUCCAAUGUCUCUUGUACAGUUAAUCACAUCCAACAAACUCACAACCUUCAUAAACAUCUAUUUCAAAUCUUGGGAUGUCUAGUCUUCACAUUCAAGGUAGCAGCCCUGACACUCCUAUCACAAAUCAAUCAGCCACACAUGAUCAGGCUCAUACACAAGUUGGUGUGAGGGAUAUAUACAAAAGACUGGUCAUCGAGCCUGACGGCUACACAUAUGAUAUAUUUUCUUAUAAAAUAGUUUUAGUUUAAGAUUAUCUCUUAAUUUUCUUAGUUUUAACCUUUAAGUGUUUAAACUUUUAUUAUAGUUUUAAUCCAGAUGAUGCUGUAAGGAUCAUUUCUUGCACUAUCAAAGAUCUUUAUAUAGGUUCAUUUUCGAGUUAAGGAAAGAUGCCAACUAAUCUUAGAAGACAAUUUUUUUGGAGUUUUGAAUAUAUUAAAAUUUAUUGCUUUAACUCUAUUUUAAUAAUUGUCUUCAAUAAUGUGUGUUUAUAGAAAUGUAUCUUGUCAUUGCAGAAAAAGUGUGCUUGGUGUCCGGAACACGAGACUCAAAUUUUCGCAAACCUUCACAAGAAAGCUGGGUGUCUACUUUCUAGUUUGUUUCUGAAAGCUCGUAAAAAAGAUAAGAAGCCUCGAUGGAUUCUAUAUGAGGAUUGGGAAAAGUUAGUUGAACAUUGGGAGACAAAUGCAAGGUUCAAGCAGAUGAGCGAGAUCGGUAAGAUGUCGAGAUCAUCUACUAAGGGUGGUUCUCUACACACAAGCGGGGCACAUAGUCAAGGAAAUGUGAGGAGAAAACUGGAAAAGGAACUAGGAAGGUCUGUAACUCAGGCUGAAGCAUUCAAGUUUACACACACAAGGAAGAAGAAAAAUCCUGGAGAUCCAAACUUUGGGUUGAUCCACGAGCUCAACUGACCUAUAAUCAAAAUCUUCAAACCUUGGAGGAUUUCCACCAAACUUUACCAGAAGACAACCAAGGCAUGUCAAUUAGCCAAGAGCAGGACGAGAGAAUUUGGCUGGACUAUGUUGGUGGUCCAACUAGAUAUGGAUAUGCUUAUGGCAUGCCGCAAAGGGCCUUUCGUGAAUUUCAUUCUGAGCUAGAAGGCCUAUCUAGUUCCCAUGAUGAUGAAUUGAGGAAGACUAAUCUUGAUUUGAAGCAUACGAUAUCUAAGCUAUCUAGUCAAGUUGAAUCCUCAUAGGUUAGGGAAAGGAGGAGGGACAUAGAAUUUGCGGGUCUUAAGGUUUAAUUUGAUGCAUUACCUGCUUCAGGAGGGAUUAUCCCUUGUCCCAGUGAUGUCCCUUUCCCUCCUCGACCCUCUCAAUCUCAACCUCCAACAUAUGGUAAGCAAAGAGAUUUGAUGGAGGAGUCUAGUAGUGAGGAAGAUGACGUGGAAGAUGUGGAAAACUCAAUGCCACAUUAUUGAAGAUUAGAGUUGCAUUAGAUAGCCUAAAGUUUUUAUGUUAAGGUUAUUUUAUGAGACUUAUUAUGUGUUUAUUUAAUGUUAGAUAUCUUUGAAAUCCUAUUAUAUAACUGACUUUUAUGUUUGUUCUUUGGAAUUUGAAUUACUUUGAGUUGAAGCAUAAUAUUAGUAAAUCUAUUUUGUGUUAUU